rnacentral:rRNA from 1 species
CGCUAGGAUGAACGCUAGCGACAGGCCCAACACAUGCAAGUCGAGGGGCAGCGCGGGAGAAGCUUGCUUUCCUGGCGGCGACCGGCGCACGGGUGCGUAACAGGUGUGCAAUCUGUCCAUAGUCGGGGGAUAGCCCAGCGAAAGCUGAAUUAAUACUCCAUGUGAAUCGAAGCCGCAUGACUUUGAUUUGAAACGCAAGGACUAUGGGUGAGCACGCUUCUGAUUAGGUAGUUGGUGGGGUAACGGCCCACCAAGCCGACGAUCAGUAGGGGUUCUGAGAGGAAGGUCCCCCACAUUGGAACUGAGACACGGUCCAAACUCCUACGGGAGGCAGCAGUGAGGAAUAUUGGUCAAUGGGCGAGAGCCUGAACCAGCCAAGUCGCGUGAAAGGAUGAAGGUUCUAUGGAUUGUAAACUUCUUUUGUCCGAGGGUAAAAAAGGCCACGUGUGGCUUCUUGCAAGUAUCGGACGAAUAAGCAUCGGCUAACUCCGUGCCAGCCGCUGC